AUGGAGAACGGAGCGGUGUAUAGUCCCACUACCGAGGAGGACCCGGGCCCCGCCAGAGGCCCCCGGAGCGGCCUCGCUGCCUACUUCUUCCUGGGUCGGCUCCCACGGCUCCGGCGCGUUCUCAAGGGCUUGAAGCUGUUGCUCUCUCUGCUGGCCUUCAUCUGUGAAGAAGUUGUAUCACAAUGUACUUUGUGGGGGACUUUAUUUUUUUUUGAGUUUGUAAGCGACAGUGCCUUUCUUCUGAGUCUCCUUAUACUGAUUGUGUAUUACACUCCAUUUUAUGAGAGUUGAUACCACAAAAGUAAAAUCAUCAUAUUUUUAUAUUACUUUGGGAACAGGAUGUGUGUUUUUGUUGGCAUCCAAGAUUUUUGUUUCCACACAUGACAGGACUUCAGCUGAAAUUGCUGCAGUUGUGUUUGGAUUUAUAGCAAGUUUUAUGUUCCUACUUGAGUUUGUCACUAUGCUGUAUGAAAAACGACAGGAGUCCCAGCUGAGAAGACCUGAAAAUAGCACUAGGGCUGAGGCUCUCACUGAACCACUUAAUGCCUAAAGACUCUGGGGAGCAGAUGUUAACUAAGGUAGUGACUCUGCACUGUGGUGCCUGAGCCCUGGCAGAAGCUCUUGUAAAAUUUGUGUAAUUGUUUAAACCACUUCUUUUGGAGAGCAAGAGGAAGGUCACGAAGGCAGUUUUAUCAAUAUUGUGUCAGUCACCACAAAUUAGGCCAGAUAAGUUUUUAAAAUUUUUUAAAAAAUGAUUGAAACUUAUCUUAAAUGGAGAUUUUGGUGGGAGGAGGAGAGAACAAUUGUUUUUUAAAUCACACAGCUCAACGGUUCAUAAAUGACUCUGUCAUUCUGUUACAAGUCAUUCUUUUACUAGGCUUAGCUUCCAAAUUAUGCUUUAUAGCUGUAUAAACAUCAUGAUUAUAUUCAUCUACUUAGAAAUUGUUUUAUUUUAAAAUUAAUUUGCUUAGCUGUUUGUUUUGAUGCUUAGAUUAUGUUGUGUUAAUGGGAAUUUAACGUAUUUAAGAAACCAAUAUUUAAAAUGUUGGUCUAGGUUUUUUUCCUUAACAUAUAUUACCAGGCUUUACUGUAUUUCACUCAGCCUUAAAUGUUACAAUAUUUUUGGAUAACUGUUAUUAAUUCUUUCUGAGACCUUGGUUAUAGCCUAAAAACGUAUGGAGAUGUUGGUAUUUUGUGUGUAUAAAAGCAACAAUAUCAGCAACUUCGUGUUUAUACUGCACCUUGGUUGUUGAUGUCAAGUGAGAAAGAGAUUGUUUUGUAACACAUACAAAAAUGGAAGAAACUGAUACCACACCUAAGUGCCGGAGAUAAGAAAGACUUUUUGCCCAAGACAGUGAAAGUAAUUAUAACAACAAGCUUUGACCACUUACCAAGUAUCUGAAGAGAUGAGUUCAUACUGUGAUUUAGAAAGUGGUUCAAUUCUCGUGUUGGCAUAUGAUUAUUUGUACUAAAAUUAAUACAGCUCUGUGGGUCUUCCUUAGCGUUUUCUUUGAAGCUCGUCUGUUUUUUUAGGACCCCAGCCUUUCGUUUUUCAUAGUUCAAGAUGCCUCUUUUCUGUCGCCUUAUCAGAUAGAAAUGGAGCUAUGUGCUGCUGCUUCAUCUAGCAGAGGUUGGCCUCUGGCUCUGACGCUUACUUUUUGUCAGUUGUCUUUAGGUGGUCCUGAAUCUUGGGCCCUUUUAAUUGUGAAUACUGUGUAGCAGGAUCUUGAGAGUCCUUGUUCUUACAUAGGCGUUGCUCUAGUUUGUCUUUGGCAAGGAACAUCUUAAGAAAGUAAAUAUCCAGGAGACCCUGCCCAGACUAAUCCUGUUGGUGACAUAAGGGAGAAUCAAGCCAUUCUCAAGAGAUAACUUCAUAACCAGAACUGUCUGUUGGCUAGCAGCUAUCACAGAUAGGCAGGGCACUUGGGAUACGACCUUUCUGUCCAGGUGUUUCACAGACUAGACCUUUCUUAUCCUCCUCCUAGAGUUUUGACCUGGGACUCUAGUGUUAAGAUCAUGAGCCCGUACAUCAGGUCCUUCUGCACUUUGGUAGAAGUCUCCCAGGGUAGGUUUCCUAUUUGAAACAGUGGAAUCAUGUUUCCAGGAAAAAAGUUUAAUGACUUCAUCCUUUUUUUUUUUUUUCCUCAUCUGGCAUUUGUGUGUCGUAGAUGGGUUUUAGUUUCAUGAAUGUGACUAAUGUGGUUCUCAGAAAUUGGUCAGUAUGGCCUGACAUAGCUUCUGCUCUGUCUUACUGACUCAAUACCUUUAGGAUUUGUGUCAGUUUGGAUACUAGUGUUAGUGGUGAUGUCACCACUACUUAAUUGGAAGAUAAUGAAACCAAUCAUAGAUGCUGUUUUUAUUGGGCAUGUCAUCUAAGAAAGGAGAAAUAGCUGAGUCUUGGGUCUAAGAAUAAGGACUGAUUCAGAAAACUAGUUUAUGAUAGGUAGACUAGAGUUUCACAUCAAACUGUACCAUUGUGAUUUUUAAUGUCAUCUAGACCUAUCUAAAAUUCAGAGCAUAUCAUCUGGGCUACCUCAGGGUCACCACCCAUGCAUUGGGCUUAGUCAAGAUUGACAGAUACGUUCUCAGCGGGCCUGUCAUAUAGAACAUCUUGUCAUUGAGCUUAAGCUCUGCUUGUUCUGAGGUUUCACUUCCAUGUGUUUCAUUGGUGCAAAAAUGGAUCUCUUAGUCGGUCACUUAAUUCUUUCUUUUUCAGAAAGACAGUAUGUUCACUGGUAUAUUUGGUCACUCUUAGAGACUUCUUUCACAUUGUUUUUUAUGGGACCCAUGAAUGGUUGGCCUUUCUUUUCUAUUGUAGAAGGAAAUAGGAGUAAAAUGACCAUUGUAGUAAAUACGUUCAAGGGGAACUUGGGACCAGAAACCACUGUUAUGUACAAAAAAUGGCAAACUCAAUAAACUCAAAUUUAAAAUAAUUUUUAAAUUAAUAGUUAUAAUACAUUUAAUUUUAUAUUUUAUACAAAUAGAUUGCUUAGAAUAGUUCUCAAGAAUUAUAAGGGAAAUGAACUCACAGUACAAAAAUUUUAUAAUUACUAUACUUAAAUUAUGUUUUGUUUGGAAGCUGGGAAAUGUAUUUUUACAUUGUAGCCAAUCGUUUUUAUAUUUGUCAAUUUAAAUCUUAUGGGUCUUUUUUAAAUCUCUCUUGAUGUCAAAUUUUGUAGUUUUAAAAAAUAAAUCCAUUUAAUUAAAAUGUUAAAAAAA